GGGCGGCCUGACCUGAUCAUGCUUACUGAGCAGUCCAUGUGCUUGCUCCCUCAGGAAGCAGGUCAGCUGGCCGCUU
ensembl:miRNA